rnacentral:lncRNA from 1 species
CUCAGUUUCACAAUUUACUCUUUUUAAUGAACCUCUCUUUUCUUUCAUUUCUCACCAUAUCCAAACUCGAUAAAGUUAGUUUCCACUGGCUGAUUCAAUCAAGCUCCGAGAUUCGUUUUGGAAUCCUCUUUAGAACUGUGGGGAGCCCACGCUGCAAGGUUAAACGUAGCUCCAAUUAGACAGUAAAUUCAGUUACGUAAACAGCUGAUAUAAGAUUUAUUAAUUAGGAUAUAAGAGUUAUCAAUUACAUUUUAAAUCAUUUUAAUAAAUAGAACAUAUUAUUUUUCACACUCACAGGCUUAAUCUAUAGCACGUACAUCUUAAUAAAUCUAAGAAAUUUCAGUUCUACUCCCCGAAUUCUCUAUUUGCAAUUCAAAAAAAAAGUAUUAUUUUUCAAAAUUUAUUAAUUUUAUAACAUCUAAAUUAAAUUUUUAUAUCAAUAAAUUAUUUAAAUAGUAAGACAUGAUAAAUAAAUUAAAAAUAUUAAAAGCAAAGAUUAAAUUAGUAAUAAUAUUUAUUUUUUUAUAAUAAUAUAUAUGCAUAAAAAUAAUUAUAUUAACAGCAAAUUCAUUAAACAUGUAAAAUAAAUUCGUUAAAAUUGAUUUGUUUUUUCUCUGCUGUUAAAAUUGACAUCAACUAUAUUUAACAGUUUAAUCUUAUAAAACCAUUUUGAAUACCACCAUGUGACUAUAAACAUAUAAAAGCUAUAAAAUGGUGAAAUGAAUUAUUUAUUAUUGAAUUUUACAUUCAAAAUUAAUAUAUUUAUUUUUCAUAAACAAAUGAUUUAAUGCAGGUGGAUGAGUAGAUAUUGAUAGUUGUGGUUAAGAAUGUGGCACUUCGUUAUUGUAUUGUUCCAUCAUUGAGUCACUGCCUUGAAAAAUACAUAAAAACUUUGUUAGAAUAUUGAUAUUUUCGUAAUUACUACUUAAUGCUUAGUAUUUAUAAUAAUAUAUCUAUUUAAUUUUUAGAUUUUAUAAAAUAUAAUUAUUUAAAUUUUUAUAUGUUCAUGUAAAUUAUACAGAUUUUAAUUUUUUAAUAAAUAUAUAUAAAUAUUUAUAAUUUUAUCAAUGAGUUCGAAUAGCAUUUAUAAAUACCGGUAGCGGUUCGAUUUCUGAAUUUUUAUGAAAAUGUAUAUUUAUGAAUAGAAUUUUAUCAGGUACACUGGAUAGAAUGUAUAGUAAACUUGCUAUGAGUUUCGACGACAUUAAGUUGACCUAAAUUUUAGUGCCGGUAGUGGUCCGAUUUUCAGAUCGUUACAUACCAUCUAAAACUAAAAAGAUUUUUAAAUUAACAAAAGUAAAAUAUUUAAUAAAUUUUGUAAUAGUUAUUAUUGUUUUGUUAGUUAAUAAUUUUAAAAAUAAUCUUUAAUAUUUUGAAUAAAAUAAAAUAUUAAUAUUUAAAAUAUGAGAAAAUUCAUUAUGAAAAGUCAUUUUUUAAAAUAUUUAAUUAAAUAAUAAAAAAUUAAUAUUACCGAAUAGGUCUAAAUUAUACAACGAAAGAUAUUUAUUUUUUUUCUUAUUAAAAAAUAAUAAUCUCAUAUUAAAUUGAUGAGACAAAGUCAAGUUUAUGUUUUUAUAUUUUUUAAAAAUGAAAAUAUUAAUUUAGAUUUGUGACAUCAUCGUUUCGUCAUUACAAUUCAUACCAUUUUAAGGUAACUUUAAUUCAUUUUAGAAAUAAUAAUCAAAAAUAAAAUUUCUAUUUAUGUGCUUAAUUUUUUUUAUUAAUAUUUUUGUGUUAAAAUUUAUUUAAGUAUUUGAAAUUUGAAUAAAUUUCAAAAUACGCAUUAGGUAAUUUCAUUCAAGUUUUAGAGUGAUCAAAUAUAUUCUCAAACCCUCUUUUUAUUUUUUCUAAAAUUAUUAAUGAAAAAGAAAGUAAAUGUCUUUCUUUUUUUUCAAAUAUUUUUCAUCUAUUUUUAUUUAAAAAUUAUUUUUCUCUUAUUAUUUUAGUACUAGAGAAGGCUGAUGGGUAGGGGUGUGCAUCGGUCGGUUCGGUUCGGUACCGAAUUGAACCGGCAAAAACCGAUUUAACCGAAUUCUUUUAAAUUGUAAACCGAACCGAACCAAAUAAGAUAUAAAUCGAAUCGAACCGAACCGAAUUGGUUCGGUUCGGUUCGGUUCGAAAUCGGUUUUUGAUCUUUUCAGUUAGCUUAAUUUCGAAGCAAAUUCUUUUGUUCACAAAUUUGAAACUAACAGAUCAUCUGCUUCAUAUACAGGCUUCAAAUUUCAGAGCAAAAGCCGAGAUGAGAUUCAAUCAGCUUUAACUGAACAUCAAAAGCCAACAAUUUUACUCAGGAAAUAUAAAGUUCAAAAUUUCCCCCAAAUGUAGAGGAAAUUUAGGAGGCGAAGAAAUUGAUUUAAACAUACAUCAAAAGGAGAAUGGUGAACAAUGAGAAUCCACACCAGCAACAAAUUUUCUUUAAAACCAUUAGAAAAACAAAAGAAUGGAAUCAAUUGAAUUUACCUUGUAAGGAUCAAUAGCUUUCGCCUCUCCAAAUAACAGAACCAAAGAUAAAACGACAGUCAAUGACAAUGUAAAGGGCUUGUUCAUCUUCUGAAAAUCUGCAGUGCGAAAGGGAAUAUCCCACUGGGUGGGUGGAUGGCCGUGGCUGCGGGACUGAAGACGCGAAGGAUGGAGAGAAAGACUCUGGCUGGCUUUCGCGAGUGNNNN